GCACGAUCUGUAUGGACUUAUGCGAAGGCAUCCUUAGAAUAGAUUUCUAGAACUCAACGACUGGAUCAAGUGAUAUAUGCACUUUGAAUCUUGAUAAUUCCUGUUUGUGGUAGAAACCGUUCAUCGUCCUCCAAUAGCCAUCAUCUCUCUUUCUCCAUUUAGCACUGGACCUCCUGACUUUUAGCUGGCACAACUCGAGAAUGUACCUCCCAACCUCCAUUGCUGCUACAUGGAGAUGUGCGACGAAGUCCUGCCCAGUGAGAGGAACGGGUUGCUCAAAAAGUAAAUGACUCGUGGGUCACGUGAGUGGGGAAGGCCGAGGUGGAGUGACAGCGCCCUUCUAGUUCGCCCACCAGCCUCCUGCCCGAGCAGACAGGGAAUCCGUCGUGCCCGCGACUGUGCCCAUCUCAGAGUGCACGCUGUGUUCUUGCGGCCCGUGACAGCAUGGAGUGAAUCGGUUAGGAGCCUGCUUAGCUGUGAGGAAUACAGCGCCCAACGAACAGUGCCCUGAGCGAUAAAGACAUUCCCCCAAUCCACAAAGAACUACUGAGAGGUGACCCCAUGCCAGGCACUGUUGUAGGAGCUGGGGAGAGAGCAGAGAAAAGCGAACUUCCUGUUCCGGAGCAAGAAGGUAGCUCCUGUGAGGGCAGGGGCUUGACUUUGCCUUGAAUACCCUGGGCACCUUUCUCCUCCAGUCCCCCCUUGUAUUGGCUUCUGCCUCGUGGUCAACAGGUGGCUUGGGAUGUCCAGGAAUCUCAGUGGAGACAGAUAGCAGGAGACAGAGGUGACCAGCCAUUCCUGUUCCCUCUACCAGAAGGACACAAGCUUUCCCGGAACCCCCAGCAGAUUCUUACUUACCAUCA